GGGAAUCUACCCAUCCCUACGGGAUAGCUCCGGGAAACUGGAAUUAAUACCGUAUACGUCCUUCGGGAGAAAGAUUUAUCGGGGAUGGAUGAGCCCGCGUUGGAUUAGCUAGUUGGUGGGGUAAAGGCCUACCAAGGCGACGAUCCAUAGCUGGUCUAAGAGGAUGAUCAGCCACAUUGGGACUGAGACACGGCCCAAACUCCUACGGGAGGCAGCAGUGGGGAAUAUUGGACAAUGGGCGCAAGCCUGAUCCAGCCAUGCCGCGUGAGUGAUGAAGGCCCUAGGGUUGUAAAGCUCUUUCAGUGGGGACGAUAAUGACGGUACCCACAGAAGAAGCCCCGGCUAACUUCGUGCCAGCAGCCGCGGUAAUACGAAGGGGGCUAGCGUUGUUCGGAAUUACUGGGCGUAAAGCGCACGUAGGCGGAAAUUUAAGUCAGGGGUGAAAUCCCGGGGCUCAACCCCGGAACUGCCUUUGAUACUGGGUUUCUUGAGUUCGGAAGAGGUAAGUGGAAUUGCGAGU
rnacentral:rRNA from 1 species